UAAUACGUAGGGGGCAAGCGUUGUCCGGAUUUACUGGGCGUAAAGGGCGCGUAGGUGGAAGGUUCAGCGUGGCCUGAAAGCCCCCGGCUCAACCGGGGAGGGCGGCUGCGAACUGGCCUUCUUGAGGGCGAGAGAGGAGCGUGGAAUUCCUGGUGUAGCGGUGAAAUGCGUAGAGAUCAGGAGGAACACCCGUGGCGAAGGCGGCGCUCUGGCUCGCCCCUGACACUGAGGCGCGAAAGCGUGGGGAGCGAACGGGAUUAGAUACCCCGGUAGUCCACGCCGUAAACGAUGGUCACCAGGUGUGUGCGGUAUCGACCCCGCACGUGCCGGCGCUAACGCAAUCAGUGACCCGCCUGGGGAGUACGGCCGCAAGGUUG
rnacentral:rRNA from 1 species